CAGUAGUCACGAGUUUGAUCCUGGCUCAGGAUGAACGCUAGCGGUAUGCUUAACACAUGCAAGUCGUACGGGAGUUUUUAACUCAAGUGGCGGACGGGUGAGUAACACGUGAGAAUUUACCUUUAGGAGGGGGAUAACAAUUGGAAACGAUUGCUAAUACCCAUAUGCUUUUUUAAGUGAAACGGAUUUAUUCGCCUAAAGAAAAGCUCGCGGCUGAUUAGCUAGUUGGUAAGGUAAUGGCUUACCAAGGCGACGAUCAGUAUCUGGUUUGAGAGGAUGAUCAGACACACUGGAACUGAGACACGGUCCAGACUCCUACGGGAGGCAGCAGUGGGGAAUUUUCCGCAAUGGGCGAAAGCCUGACGGAGCAAUACCGCGUGAGGGAAGACUGCCUAUGGGUUGUAAACCUCUUUUUUCAGGGAGGAAUAAAAUGACGUGUACCUGAAGAAUAAGCAUCGGCUAACUCCGUG
rnacentral:rRNA from 1 species